rnacentral:rRNA from 1 species
CCCCAGGUCAGGCGGGGCUACCCGCUGAGUUUAAGCAUAUCAAUAAGCGGAGGAAAAG